rnacentral:tRNA from 1 species
GGGCCUAUAGCUCAGCUGGGAGAGCGUUCGGUUCGCAUCCGAAAGGUCAGGGGUUCGAAUCCCCUUAGGUCCACCA